rnacentral:miRNA from 1 species
CUCUGCUCUCCCUAUUGGGCCUGCCUCGUAUACGAGGCAGGUCCAAUAGGGAGAGCAGAGAU